rnacentral:rRNA from 1 species
AACGAACGCUGGCGGCGUGCUUAACACAUGCAAGUCGAACGCGAAAGGGACUUCGGUCCCGAGUAGAGUGGCGCACGGGUGAGUAACGCGUAAGUAAUCUACCCCUGUAUUCGGAAUACCCCACCGAAAGGUGAGCUAAUACCGGAUACGUUUAUCUUGAUGCGAAUGAUGAUAAAGAAAGGUGGCCUCUUCUUGAAAGCUACUGUACAGGGACGAGCUUGCGUACCAUUAGCUAGUUGGUAGGGUAAUGGCCUACCAAGGCGACGAUGGUUAGCGGGUCUGAGAGGAUGAUCCGCCACACUGGAACUGGAACACGGACCAGACUCCUACGGGAGGCAGCAGUGAGGAAUAUUGCGCAAUGGGGGCAACCCUGACGCAGCGACGCCGCGUGGAUGAUGAAGGCCCUUGGGUCGUAAAAUCCUGUCAGAUGGAAAGAAAUGCCACAGGGCUAAUAUCUUUGUGGUUUGACGGUACCAUCAAAGGAAGCACCGGCUAACUCCGUGCCAGCAUCCGCGGUAAUACGGAGGGUGCAAGCGUUGUUCGGAAUUACUGGGCGUAAAGCGCGCGUAGGCGGUUUGCUCAGUCAGAUGUGAAAGCCCUCGGCUUAACCGGGGACGUGCAUUUGAAACUGGCAGACUUGAGUAUUGGAGGGGGUGGUGGAAUUCCCGGUGUAGAGGUGAAAUUCGUAGAUAUCGGGAGGAAUACCGGUGGCGAAGGCGACCACCUGGCCAAAUACUGACGCUGAGGUGCGAAAGCGUGGGGAGCAAACAGGAUUAGAUACCCUGGUAGUCCACGCCGUAAACGAUGUCAACUAGGUGUUGGGAUGGUUAAUCGUCUCAUUGCCGCAGCUAACGCAUUAAGUUGACGCCUGGGGAGUACGGUCGCAAGAUUAAAACUCAAAGGAAUUGAC